rnacentral:lncRNA from 1 species
CUCUUAAAGCUUCCUGUUCCUCUCACAAAAACUACUGGAAAAGUGCUCUUCCCUUUGCAGGACCUUCUACAAACAGACUUCAAUAAUUCCAACAGCACUAACAUACUGUUGGUCUCUGCUAAAAGCCCAGUGAGAAUCAAUGCUUUUUUAUUAAAAGGUUUGUUAUGGGUUAUUUUGUCCUUGCGUAUUUCACUGGUGAGGACCAGAGUACCUCACAGAGGAUCUGAACUGACUAUCUGAGCUCUGCCAAACAGAACAGCCCUGGUUUACCUGGUCUCCC